CCUACGGGAGGCUGCAGUAGGGAAUUUUCGGCAAUGGGAGGAACCCUGAACGAGCAACGCCGCGUGAACGAAGAAGUUAUUCGUAAUGUAAAGUUCUUUUAACAGGGAAGAAAGAGAAAUUUGACGGUACCUGAAGAAUAAGCUACGGCUAACUACGUGCCAGCAGCCGCGGUCAUCCGUAGGGAGCGAGCGUUAGCCGGAAUUAUUGGCCGUAAAGGUUGCGUAGAGGGCAUAGUAAGUCUUUUGUAAAAAUGCUGGGCUAAACCCAGUAGGGCAAAAGAUACUGCAAAGCUAGAGUAUGACAGAGGCAAGUGGAACUAGAGGUGUAGCGGUAAAAUGCGUAAAUAUAUGUAAGAACACCAGUGGCGAAGGCGGCUUGCUGGGUCGAUACUGACAUUGAGGCACGAAAGCGUGGGGAGCAAACAGGAUUAGAUACCCUUGUAGUC
rnacentral:rRNA from 1 species